GAUGAAGAACGUAGCGAAAUGCGAUAAGUAAUGUGAAUUGCAGAAUUCAGUGAAUCAUCGAAUCUUUGAACGCACAUUGCGCCCGCUAGUAUUCUGGCGGGCAUGCCUGUCCGAGCGUCAUUUCAACCCUCAAGCCCCCGGGCUUGGUGUUGGGGAUCGGCGAGCCUCCGCGCCCGCCGUCCCCUAAAUCUAGUGGCGGUCUCGCUGUAGCUUCCUCUGCGUAGUAGCACACCUCGCACUGGGAAACAGCGCGGCCACGCCGUUAAACCCCCAACUUAUGAACGUUUGACCUCGGAUCAGGUAGGAAUACCCGCUGAACUUAAGCAUAUCAAUAAGCGGAGGA
rnacentral:misc_RNA from 1 species